ACCGGAGUACUAUGAAUACUAUAAAUUUAAAACUCAAAGAACUUGGCGGUGUUUUAGACCACUCAGGGGAACCUGUCUCGUAAUCGACAAUCCACGUUGUACCUGACCUUUCUUUGUUCUCAGUUUGUAUACCGUUGUCGUCAGGUAACUUUUUAGAAUGUAGAAGUUGGCUGGAGAAAUAAAUGAUUUAGUACGUCAAAUCAAGGUGCAGCUAAUAGAAAGGGGAGGAUGGGUUACAAUUAUUUAUUUAUAAUUACGGAUUAUUAUGUUAAAGCGUAAGGAUAAGAAGGAGGACUUGAAAGUAAAUUAAAUUUAUAAAAAUAAAUUUGAAUAAGGCUCUGAAACGUGU
rnacentral:rRNA from 1 species